rnacentral:rRNA from 1 species
CCGUAAGUAGUGGCGAGCGAACACGGAAGAGCCUGCACGACUAAACCAUCAGCUUAGCAAAACGGUCUGGAAAGUCCGACGAUACAGGGUGAUAGUCCCGUAUGCGAAAAGCCGGUGGCGGGUCUGAGCGUGCGACAAGUAGGGCGGGACACGAGAAAUCCUGUCUGAAGAUGGGGGGACCAUCCUCCAAGGCUAAAAUACUCGUGAUCGACCGAUAGUGAACCAGUACCGUGAGGGAAAGGCGAAAAGAACCCCGGGAGGGGAGUGAAAUAGAUCCUGAAACCGCAUGCAUACAAACAGUGGGAGCCUCGAAAGGGGUGACUGCGUACCUUUUGUAUAAUGGGUCAGCGACUACGUUCAGUUGCGAGCUUAACCGAAUAGGGGAGCGUAGCGAAAGCGAGUCUGAUAAGGGCGUCAGAGUAGCUGGGCGUAGACCGAAACCGGAUGAUCUAUCCAUGGCCAGGAUGAAGGUGCGUAACAGGUACUGGAGGUCC